GGCUGGAUACAGACCCAACUGAAUACAUAUAAACACAAGAGGAAUAAAGUGGAAUAAACAAAAGGUUAAAUUAAAUUAGAGCUUAUCUCUACUGUAUUCAAACUAAUAAAAGCAAGGAUAACAACCUGUAAACUGGUAUUAACAAUGAAACAUAGUUAGGAUGAAGACCAUGCCCAGAAUGAAUAGAAUGAAAGAAAAUACAUAACUCACACAAACACAUAUUAAAUGAAAUAGAGAGAUGCAUAAGGUAUAUUAAGGUUGUGUCAUUGUUCAGCCAAGGAAAGUGUGUGAAAAGGAAAAUGUCUCCAGCUUGGGAAGGGUGAAACUGCAGAUCACCCCAUCCCUCGAUGGAUGCAAAAUAAAAUAUAAAUAAAAUAUUGUAAUAUACUAUUGCUGUUAUAUAAAAAGAUAAUAACAUUAACAUAAUAUUAAUAUGAAGAGGCACCUCAGUCAGCUAUGAUGUGAGGUGGAUAAUUGUUAAAAGUAGUCUGCAUCAAGCUUAAGGUUUGCUCAAAUUCAGUACAAUGACAUAUGAGAUGAAGAAAAUAAAGAAAAUAUGUAAACUAAUUAAGUGCAUAGAGGCACUUGACCUGCUUGAAAACCUGUCAUCCUAGAUGAGACAUUGUUGGGAUAUAGAGCACACCUAUACUAACACCUAAAAACCCUGUAUACAACAGCUAAAGCUACACAAUUGAGAAGCUGAAUUAAAUAUAUGGUCACUGCUAAGCUGAUGAGCAGGUUACACAUUUUUUAGAGCAGGAGCUGCAUAAGAACACAUCAGAGGGAGGGAAACAGCUAUUAAAGCUCAAACAUGAAGCUGUCUGUGGGCUCAGUUUUUUUCCCUCACGCUUCUGAUUUGUUUUUGGCAGCAGCCUUUUUGCAUCCUGACUUAUGUGUGUAAAGCGUUUAAGCCAUCAAUAAGUUGUUUUUGUUUUGUUUUGUUUUUUGUUUUGUUGGUUUGAAAAAUGAAUAAAUCUGUGAUCAUACUUGUGGAUCAUAGUGGCACAUAAUGAUUAGGCAUAUGAUUUACUAAUGCAGAUGUAAUAACUUUAUUCUAAAAUUCAAGGAGAACAAACAAGAACAACAUCUUCAGUUGUGUCUUGUUGUUGUUCUCUGUGCAGUGUGCUGAGUUUUGUUUUUGUUUCUUUUGUUUUUGAACUGUUGCUUGAGUGAUGAGUGCUGUAACUUCUGAAGUGGCUCUCACCAUGUGUCCUUGAUGAUGAUAAGUUCAGAGCCAGCUGAGAGCUGGGUUGUCUGUUUUGUUUUAGGUGACAAGCCAGAAAAGUUAAAACUUAGUUUCUUGUUUAAAAAAAAAAAAAAAAAAGGGGGGAAAGGGAGGUUUUGUGUUUCUCAACCAAGAACAACUACAAUUUCAUUUUCUGUUUUUGAGAAAGGAGAAUUUAUAAUAAUAAUAAUAAUAAUGAUAAUAAUAAUAAUAAUAAUAAUAACAAUAAUAAUAAUAAUAAAACAAAGAGUGAUGUUUUGUUUAAGUGGUGAAGACAGCUAAUACUGCAAUAUACCGUCUAGUGCAUGAUCCGUGAGCAAUAAAUGAAAUCAUCUUAUUUAUCUUUAAAUAAACUCCAAUUAUGGAGACCUGAAGUCACAUGCUUAGGGCACACCCUCUCAGGUGAAGGCAGAAAGCUACUAAACAAAGAAAAGAAGCUAUACAAAAUGCGCCACAGCCACAAACUAAGCAUUCAUAUUCUUUUCUAACUCUUAGUGAGCCAGAGUUAUGACCUUGGCUCCCUGUUUUCUGCUUCCACCAAAGGUGGGGUGACGCUCCGUGGCAUGUGCUCUGUUCUCUUUACUAUCACAAAGAAAAAAAAAAAAGAGAGAGGCCCCUACUCUCUGAAUACAAUAUUCUUUUCAUAACUCGGCAGUAUGAAAUGUCAUGAAACAGUGUAACUCACUCACAAUAAAUCAGCAGCAUAGGAUAAUACAAACCUAUCUAAUAAAUCUAAUGAUUUUCACAUUCUUUUAACUCAGAAGUAUGAUGUGGCCUACAGCAGUAUCAUGAUUCACUCAUUUUGAUUAUAGGUAUAAUGUAAUAUAUAACAGCAUAAUAAUCUCACAACUGCUACAAGCACAUUUGCCUUUCUUAACACACGCGAGAGAAAGGCAACUGUUGAGAAAAUGCUCUUUUGGGUGAGACAGUCCCAGAGGCCUUGCAUGCAAGCUACUAACACACAUACAUGCAAUGAAGAACAGCUUACACUACAGCACACACUAUACAUGUGCCUAUAUCUCUCAUUAGUGUUAAAACAGGGAAAACUUAAUAGUUUUGUUAUCAAAUGCUGAAUUUAUCCACUGCUGACAUUUAACUCUCCAGCUUGCAGGACAAUAGGUGAAACGUUUGUGAAAAUAGAAAAGAAAAAGAAAAAUCAAAUAAAAGAGAGAGUCUGGUAUGACCAAGUAGUAAUCAGACAAAUUUAGUUGGUAAUACAACAAAUUGUGAGAUGUUUUCUGCUGAUUGAACAACACAAGUGAUUACUGACGAUGUUCUUAAGAAUUUAAAUAUCUACCUGUGUUGUCCUGUCAACUUGGUGGGUUAUGAGUUGAUUAUAUUGUGAGGAAAAAAAAAAAAGGGGAGAGAAGGCUGACACAGGGCCUGGCCCGGUGUUUCUCCCUCUCUGAAUAACACAGCCAAUACAACAUCAUUUUCCUGUUCGUCUGUUUUUGUUUUGUUUUUGUUUUCUCUUUAUGUUUAAUUACAGGCUGCUUUGCCGGUCCUGAAAGCUGAAGCUGACCUGGACUCCUGCUCUCCCUCUACCAUCUUUGACGUGACCCUGACCAAAUGCUGCAGCAGCUAGACCCAUAACAACAAUCUGAAAAUGUCAACAGUGCUACAGGAAAGCGAUCUCAUGCAGCAGAGAUGGAGAGCGUUAAAUCCUAGGCCCGUUUCACUACACGGGGAAAUUUCCAGACAGCUUCAGCUGACAGAGCUGUGACGAGACGCCCAUUAAGCCCGAAUGAAAAGUAAGGCCGAGCAAAAGAAUGCUGACCUUGAUAACUCUGCAAUAACACUGUGCAGGACAGUGAUGGACCAACACGGAUGAUCGGGCAGCAGAAGAAAAGGCGUGCCAGAGACAGGAGGAGCAACUGAGGUCAAAAGGCACCUCAGAAUGGACAAAACACAGAAGAAGAUGCAGGUUUCACCUGCGGUGAGCAUGGACACUGGAGAAAGGACUGCCCCAAUUGGGGCCAGGACCAGGACAGACUGAACUUUGAGCAGCAGCAGCAAUGGUCGCAACCGGACUGAAAAGGAGGAGGGCAGGACUCCAGGGCACGCUUCAGGCCAUGGUUUACCCAAAACACCAGAACAGGAAAGUGAUAAACACACCAACAUACACAUCUACACACACACCAGACAAUGUACACUCAUCAAACAUGACUGAUGCCCUGAACACCUUGAGACAGAUCAAGCAGGCCCAAAAUCAGGACUAUGUAAGUAAUACAAGUGACUGGUUUUCUUGGCUUUACACUGGCUCCUGGCUACAGCUGCUAAAAAGACUACUACUGCCUUUUCACUGUGCAAUACGUUUUGUUAAAAACCAACGGUGCAAUAGACUUCAAUAUUUGAAAUACUUGAAAUACUUGCAAAUCCUUUGUAUUCUUAUUCUUAUUUAUUCUAUUUAUCCUUUUUUUUUAUUCUUACUUUUAUUUUGUGUUUUUGUAACAUGUAUCCUGCCAUGUCUAAAACUCAUGAUUAACCGUAUAAUUGUUUCCACUGUUGCUGCAUACAUAGCCGUGACAAAUGAUGAUGAUGAUGACCCCGACCGGUUGGAACAUGAAGACUUUGUGUGAUUAAUGAUGGUGUGAUAGAAACUGUGCAACAAGAUGUUACAUACUGAUAUCUCACUUGAAAGUUAUACUGACAACAGGAGGGAAUGUCAAUGGAAAAUUGUACUUAGUAGUCAGUAUAAGCUUUUAAUGAUAUAAGUUUGCAUAUGAUAGAAUACUGUAUGUUGACCUCUGAUGACUUAGACUGUUGUCCACUACAAGACUGUUUUAUAAAUUCUUUCUCACAGCGAUAAUAGCUGAACAAGCAGGAAGAGGAGAGCUGGACACUUUUAUCUGCGCUCUCUAACAAGAAGAAGGGCCGCGUCCUUCUGAAUCUCACAACACACACGCAUACAUCUGAACCACUCUUAUCUUCACCCCCAC
ensembl:lncRNA